rnacentral:lncRNA from 1 species
ACAGUCAGAAUUAUCUUUCUUACAUAGACUGUGAGGCAGAUGGUUUCAUUGUUCUCCAAAUUCCAUUAUAGAUUUCUCUGUUAGUAAAAGAGGUUUAACUGUCUGUCUGCUCAGAUAGACAGAAUAGUCCUCAACUUCCUUGGAAACUAGUGAUAAUUAAUAGACACAUACUAUUGCUUCAGACUAGGAGAUGCAACAAUGGGCUAAUUAACCAUGUGGGACAUCACUCUGACAGCUGACCUGACAAAUGGGGGAAUAAGAUAUUGAAUGUACAACUGAGGGACAACUCCAGGACAUCUUGCAUUGUUGGAGUCUUCUUCUGCAGGAUGCAACUAGUCACUGUAUCAAUGAUCAGAAUAUGAUGCAAUAUCACAAGAAUAUACAGGUCUGCAAACAAAAGGCAGAAGAUGCCUUCAGGUACAGAAGUAAAGAAAGACUAUAAACCGCU